UACAGAGGGGGCAAGCGUUGCUCGGAAUCACUGGGCGUAAAGGGCGCGUAGGCGGGAUGGCAAGUCGGUCGUGAAAUCCCUGGGCUCAACUCAGGGGGGUCGGCCGAUACUGCCGUUCUUGAGGGAUGCAGAGGAGACUGGAAUUCCCGGUGUAGCGGUGAAAUGUGUAGAGAUCGGGAGGAACACCGGUGGCGAAGGCGGGUCUCUGGGCAUUUCCUGACGCUGAGGCGCGAAAGCGUGGGGAGCAAACGGG
rnacentral:rRNA from 1 species